UCCAGAAGAGCCAUUGCGUCUCCUGUGGCUUUCCCUCUCCCUGUCUCAGGAAAUGUUCUCUCUCUCUCUCUCGUCUGAAAAUUUGUGUUUAUUUUUCAUGUGGUGUGCUUGAUUUCUACUUAUUGUACACAAUUAUAAUUUGGUUUGCCUGUUGACGAACUUGGUGUAAUUAGACAAUUGGAGAGAGAUGGCGAUUCGAAGGAAGACUAUGGAUACUGGUAGAAUGAGGUAUCUCCGCCAUGUUUUCGUCAGGUUCAAGAGCAACUUUCGGGAAGGUCGCUAAUAGGUUAUACAGACUACAGUACACUCCUCAGAUCAUAUCUGGAACUGUAAUAAGUACUGAUUUUAUUGAAUCGAGUCUGAUUCUUCAUGCGGUUGUUGUUCAGGAACACAGGUAGCUCCAAGGAAGAAAGGUGCGGUCACGUCUUCAUAAGCAGGCUUAACUUGCACGAAGAUGAGCAUUUCAAUGCCUAAUUAUGCUUUCUUGAUCUGGGUAUGAGUUAUAUAUGACGUGUUGCUCUGUAGAUAUGUAAAACACUGUAUAUGGAUCUAUCAUCUAUGUCGCAUGUUUACUAGGUGCCGUAUAUUGUAAAGUGUAUGAUCUCUUUUCUGCACAUAAUCUUUGUUGUGUAUCUUGAAGAUGGAAUGUAAAGGAUAACUGGAUUCUGGCCUUUCGGUUUGGAAGCAAAAGCAACCCUUGCUCCAUUUGUAAUCAAA